rnacentral:ncRNA from 1 species
CCUUUAAAAUGUCUACACAGAGGAAUAGGGAAACAGAUAUGAUAAUAAAAUCAAGCAUAAAAAAACUCCAAAAGUAAUGCGAGGCUAAAUAUGGGCGGGAGACCAAAAGCGAACAAGUAUCGUGAGGUAAAAAUGAAAGAUUUAAAAAGAGAGUCAAAGAGUGCUUGAAAUUGUUGAGAGGGAAUCAGAUAGGGGCCGGCCAGAUGUCUCGGUUGAAUGCGAAAAGGAGCAAUCCAGUCAGCCGCUUGAUUCGAGGCAAGGACUGAUGCAGAUUAAGGUGGUGGCUUAAGCCCAGGCCUUUUGAUACGCCCACAGAGACGUUGGUGCCUGAAUCGUCGUCUGCAGCAUGCGCCAUAACGGUGCGCCUCAGCAUCUGCGUGCUCCAGACUUUGGCCUGUGGGCUCCCUAUUCAACCGGUCUUGAAACACGA